rnacentral:rRNA from 1 species
AAAGUGUUUAUGAAUGUUUAGCUAACAUUAAGCAGCUUAUAAUGUAUGCCUGGUUUACUCCUUGUAUGUAUUAUAGGUUGUGUUAGUUAACAGUUACUGUGAAAAAAUUAGAGUGUUCAAAACAGGCAUUUAUGGCUAUUGAAUAUAUUAGCAUGGUAUAACGAAAUAUGACAACUCUAUUACGUUUGAGUGGUACUAUAUCAGUUGAGUAAUUAGAGAUGUAAUGAUUAAAAGGAGCAGUCGUAGUGACUUUUACUUAAUGGAAAGAGGUGAAAUUCUAUAACCCAUUAAAGAAAAACAACUGCGAAAGCAUUUCACUAGAAUGCUUUCAUUAAUCAAGAACGAAAGUUGUGGGAAAGAAGAUGAUUAGAUACCGUCGUAUUCGCAACUAUAAACUUUGUCGAUUUAGGAUUGCAAAUCGUUACAUUGAUGACAUUUGCAGAACUAUGUGAGAAAUCAAAAUAUUUAGACUCCAGGGGGAAUAUGGUCGCAAGUCUGAAACUUAAAAGAAUUGACGGAAGGGCACCACCAGGCGUGGAACCUGCGGCUUAAUUUGACCCAACGCGAGAAAACUUACCAGGUCAGGACACAAAAAGGAUUGACAGAUUGAUAGCUCUUUCAUGAUAUUGUGAAAAGUGGUGCAUGGCCGUUGCUAGUUGGUGGUUUGAAUUGUCAGGUUAAUUCCGUUAACGAACGAGACCUUAACCUACUAAAUAGCUGAACUAUUUUUAUUGCAGUUACAGGGUGAAAGCCUUGUACUUUGUAGAAAUACAGAGUUUGUAAUAUAUCUAAAUAGGUUACAACUUCUUUAUGGGACAAUCUGCGUUUAUAGCAGAUGGAAGUAAGACAAUAACAGGUCUGUGAUGCCCUUCGAUGUUCUGGGCUGCACGCGCGUUACAAUGAAAUAAACAACAAGUAUGACCUAAUCUGAGAAGAUUUGGGAAAUCUUUCUAACCUAUUCCUUGAUUGGGAUAGUGUUUUGCAAUUAUCGCACUUGAACGAGGAACGCCUUGUAUUGACAUGUCAUUAACAUGUCGAGAAUACGUCCCUGCCCUUUGUACACACCGCCCGUCGCUCCUACCGAUUGAGUUUCGAGGUGAGGCUUCAGGACAUUCGAUAUGGGGAUUUAUCCCUGAAAAGUCAGCAAUGAUUUUUCCUAAUGAAAUUUGUUCGAAU